rnacentral:rRNA from 1 species
UACGGGGGGAGCAAGCGUUGUUCGGAUUUACUGGGCGUAAAGGGCGCGUAGGCGGCGAGGUAAGUCGGGUGUGAAAUCUCGGAGCUUAACUCCGAAACUGCAUUCGAUACUGCCGUGCUUGAGGACUGGAGAGGAGACUGGAAUUUACGGUGUAGCGGUGAAAUGCGUAGAUAUCGUAAGGAAGACCAGUGGCGAAGGCGGGUCUCUGGACAGUUCCUGACGCUGAGGCACGAAGGUCAGGGGAGCAAACGGG